GAUGAACGCUGGCGGCGUGCUUAAUACAUGCAAGUCGAGCGAAAAGACGCGGAUCUUGCGCGGUGCACGUGUGCGGCGGACGGGAGUAAAACACGUGGAAAACCUACCUAUAAUUGGGAUAUAACCUCGGGAAAGCGGAGCUUAUACGGUAGGAUCUCUUGCAGCACAGUGGGCGAUGGUGAAAUACGGCGGUUGGGGCAGUACUAGAGGGUUACGAGCUUCAUGGUCGAGUAGUGGCUGAACAGGGUUUUGACGGGUAGCCGGCCUGGGAGGGUGACCGGCGACAGUGGGCCUGCGAGACGGCCUAGACUGCUACGUGAGGCAGCAGUGGGGAAUAUUGCACAAUGGGCGGAAGCCUGAUGCAGCAACGCCGCGUGCUGGAUGACGGCCUUCGGGUUGUAAACCGCUUUCGCCUGUGACGAAGCGUGAGUGACGGUAAUGGGUAAAGAAGCACGGGCUAACUACGUG
rnacentral:rRNA from 1 species